rnacentral:misc_RNA from 1 species
GAAAAGCAUGCUUUAAACGUUAGAAUUCCCAAUUUUUCAUCUAGGUUAGAGCUUCAAAUCUUGCCGCCAAUUUUACUCUCCCUCCCUCUCAACACUCUAUCAUUGUUACUACCUAAUAUCCCUAAUCUCCCAUCUAUGCAUUCAUCAUUAUUGCCGUCGUCACCACCGACCGAAGCAAACCUAGCCAUUGUUCUUCUUUUCCCUUGGAGUUUUGGUGGAGCCAUCUUUCUUCUUUCCCCUGGGAGCCACAGGAUGCCUCGUAAAGUAUUAUCUUCUAGAAGUAAAGGAUGGGGACAACAGCACACAAUGUCUCAACCCAUGCAAUCUUUAAGGGAUGAACUAAAGGAAGAUCAAAGCAUAGGGCAUGAGACACAACAAUUGCUAGCGAAAACUCAAGUUCCACCAACUCUACAAUCUGGGGGGCAAGUAGCAG